UCAGAGGUGGAGAAAGUCAUAAGAAUCAGGGAGCCUGCCCCAAAUUGCCUCCUAUGAUAACUUUCCACAAAGACUGGAGGGGAGGCUUCAAACAUCUUCCUGCAGUGUCCAGCAAGACAGCGAGGCAGACUCCCUUUCUCCUGCCAAAGCCACGUGGAGCCAGACAGAACCACAAGCAUACCUGUGGUGCUUGGAGGCCCAAGUAGAAACUUGAAUGCUCACGGCUGCAUUGGCAGCUUCUACUUGCCUGCCUGGAUCACCGUUCCUCAUGAGAACUUGGAAAAGCAGGACUAUCAUUCUUGCUUGACAGACGAAGAAACCAAGCCUCAGGACUGCGUGCAAUUCUACUUGGAGAUCUUCAUAACACCUUAAGGGAAAAAUCCUUUUUGAAAGAAAAACAAGUCUGGGUGGUGCUUGAAAAUUCAGAAGGCAGCUAGAAACUCUGCCAAUUACAACUGGUGAUUGCUGAGUUCUGGAGACAGACUGGGCUUCUGCUUUCUUUUGGUGGAGGUGUCUGCUUGCAGAAAAUUUAUGUUCUGGGAUUUACAACUUCAGGGAGACAAAGGAAACUCCAGCUCAUCUCCCACAUCAUUGAUUGAGAGGACCAUUUUCUGACUGUCUGCACACGUUUCCUAUACUACCCUUUAAUGCAACAAUGGGAUGAAGAGAUGAAGACUUCUAGCAGGCUACCUCAGAAAGGUUGCUGACCAAAGGCUGUAUGGACCAAAAAGUCAUAACACCACCCUGGAUGAAAGGACAUUUACCUAAGGAAUUACCCGCUCUCAAUUCUUCCCAGGUGCAUGUAGUAUAGAUUAAAUAAGGUGGUUGUAUGGCAACAGAGACAUUAUUAGAAACAUUCUUCUUGAAGUUUGACAACAAAGCAGUAGAUGUGUAUCUACUACAGAGUUGUUAGUGAAAAAAGGUAUGUUUGAAGUAAUCAAUUGGUAUUCAUUUUAAACAGUAAUGGUCUUACUGAAGCUAAGUUUAAUACAUGCUGUGUUUGGAAGUAAUUUCUUUACCACUGUGUAGAAACCUUCACAGCUGUUCUUUUUUUGUUGUUGUGUUGUUGACAUUCAGUAGCAAAUUACAAGAAUCUCUGAUGAAAACUCCUUACAGCUAGAUGUGUUCUUAUUUUUGAAUUCAGACUCAGUGUCAAUGAUCUCACUACUCUAUCUCCAAUUUUCCCAAAUACAUGGGUAAAUUGUAAGUGGAAGCUAAUUUAUCUUCAAAAAUUUGAAGGGCAGGAUAGACACUGUCUAGUUUGGAAAUAUUAAGAAUAUAAUUCU
rnacentral:lncRNA from 1 species